rnacentral:rRNA from 1 species
GCGCGAGCCUGAACCAGCCAAGUCGCGUGAGGGAUGAAGGUUUAUGGAUCGUAAACCUCUUUUAUAAGGGAAUAAGUGCGGGACGUGUCCCGUUUUGUAUGUACCUUAUGAAUAAGGAUCGGCUAACUCCGUGCCAGCAGCCGCGGUAAUACGGAGGAUCCGAGCGUUAUCCGGAUUUAUUGGGUUUAAAGGGUGCGUAGGCGGCCUUUUAAGUCAGCGGUGAAAGUCUGUGGCUCAACCAUAGAAUUGCCGUUGAAACUGGGAGGCUUGAGUAUGUUUGAGGCAGGCGGAAUGCGUGGUGUAGCGG